UGGGGAAUAUUGCGCAAUGGGGGAAACCCUGACGCAGCAACGCCGCGUGAAGGAUGAAGGUUUUCGGAUCGUAAACUUCUUUGAUGAGGGACGAAUAAUGACGGUACCUCAAAAACAAGCCACGGCUAACUACGUGCCAGCAGCCGCGGUAAUACGUAGGUGGCGAGCGUUGUCCGGAAUUACUGGGUGUAAAGGGCGUGUAGGCGGGAAUGCAAGUCAGAUGUGAAAUACCGUGGCUUAACCACGGGGCUGCAUCUGAAACUGUGUUUCUUGAGUGUCGGAGAGGAAAGUGGAAUUCCCAGUGUAGCGGUGAAAUGCGUAGAUAUUGGGAGGAACACCAGUGGCGAAGGCGACUUUCUGGACGAUAACUGACGCUGAGGCGCGAAAGCGUGGGGAGCAAACA
rnacentral:rRNA from 1 species